rnacentral:rRNA from 1 species
AACGAACGCUGGCGGCAGGCUUAACACAUGCAAGUCGAGCGCCCCGCAAGGGGAGCGGCAGACGGGUGAGUAACGCGUGGGAACGUACCCUUUGCUACGGAAAAGCUCCGGGAAACUGGAAUUAGUACCGUAUGUGCUGUACGGGGGAAAGGUUUAUCGGCAAAGGAGCGGCCCGCGUUGGAUUAGCUAGUUGGUGGGGUAAUGGCCUACCAAGGCGACGAUCCAUAGCUGGUCUGAGAGGAUGAUCAGCCACAUUGGGACUGAGACACGGCCCAAACUCCUACGGGAGGCAGCAGUGGGGAAUAUUGGACAAUGGUCGCAAGCCUGAUCCAGCCAUGCCGCGUGAGUGAUGAAGGCCUUAGGGUUGUAAAGCUCUUUCACCGGAGAAGAUAAUGACGGUAUCCGGAGAAGAAGCCCCGGCUAACUUCGUGCCAGCAGCCGCAGUAAGAC